rnacentral:rRNA from 1 species
GGAGUUAGCCGGUGCUUCUUCUGUGAGUGAUGUCCUUCCUGCCGGCUAUUAACCCGCAGGCCUUCUUCCUCACUGAAAGUGCUUUACAACCCGAAGGCCUUCUUCACACACGCGGCAUGGCUGGAUCAGGGUUGCCCCCAUUGUCCAAUAUUCCCCACUGCUGCCUCCCGUAGGAGUCUGGGCCGUGUCUCAGUCCCAGUGUGGCUGAUCAUCCUCUCAGACCAGCUACGGAUCGUCGCCUUGGUGAGCCGUUACCUCACCAACCAGCUAAUCCGACAUAGGCUCAUCCGAUAGCGCGAGGCCCGAAGGUCCCCCGCUUUCCCCCGUAGGGCGUAUGCGGUAUUAGCCUGGGUUUCCCCAGGUUAUCCCCCACUACCGGGCAGAUUCCUAUGCAUUACUCACCCGUCCGCCGCUCGCCACCAGGGAGCAAGCUCCCCGUGCUGCCGCUCGACUUGCAUGUGUUAGGCCUGCCGCCAGCGUUCAAUCUGAGCCAGNGCACACUCGACUCGNGCGGCGUGCGACGACGC